rnacentral:rRNA from 1 species
UUAGCGGGCGCGCCUAACACAUGCAAGUCGCACGAGAGGGGGCAACCCUGACAGUGGCGCACGGGUGCGUAACACGUAGAUAAUCUGCCCUUCAACGGGGGAUAACGUUCCGAAAGGAGCGCUAAUACCGCAUAACGCCAAUUUGGGCUUCGGCCUGGGUGGACAAAGGCUGGGACCGUAAGGCCAGUCGUCGGAGGAGGAGUCUGCGGCCCAUCAGCUAGUUGGCGAGGUAAUGGCUCACCAAGGCGAAGACGGGUAGCUGGUCUGAGAGGAUGAUCAGCCACACUGGUACUGGAACACGGACCAGACUCCUACGGGAGGCAGCAGUGGGGAAUCUUGGUCAAUGGGCGCAAGCCUGAACCAGCGACGCCGCGUGAGUGAUGAAGGCCUUCGGGUUGUAAAGCUCUGUGGGGAGGGACGAAAGACUGAGGUCUAAUAGGCUUCAGGUUGACGGUACCUCCUUAGCAAGCACCGGCUAACUCUGUGCCAGCAGCCGCGGUAA